UACGUAGGGGGCAAGCGUUGUCCGGAUUUACUGGGCGUAAAGAGCGCGCAGGCGGUCGUUCAAGUCGAGUGUGAAAGCCCCCGGCUCAACUGGGGAGGGUCACUCGAUACUGAUCGACUUGAAGGCAGGAGAGGGAAGCGGAAUUCCCGGUGUAGCGGUGAAAUGCGUAGAGAUCGGGAGGAAGGCCGGUGGCGAAGGCGGCGCUCUGGAACGUUUCUGACGCUGAGGCUCGAAAGCGUGGGGAGCAAACAGG
rnacentral:rRNA from 1 species